rnacentral:rRNA from 1 species
UACGUAGGGUGCGAGCGUUGUCCGGAAUUAUUGGGCGUAAAGGGCUCGUAGGCGGUUUGUCGCGUCAGGAGUGAAAACUCGGGGCUUAACCCCGAGCCUGCUUCUGAUACGGGCAGACUAGAGGUAUGCAGGGGAGAACGGAAUUCCUGGUGUAGCGGUGAAAAUGCGCAGAUAUCAGGAGGAACACCGGUGGCGAAGGCGGUUCUCUGGGCAUUACCUGACGUGAGGAGCGAAAGUGUGGGGAGCGAACAGG